UACGUAGGGCGCAAGCGUUGUCCGGAAUUAUUGGGCGUAAAGAGCUCGUAGGCGGUCUGUCGCGUCUGCCGUGAAAACCCGAGGCUUAACCUCGGGCUGGCGGUGGAUACGGGCAGACUAGAGGUAGGUAGGGGAGAAUGGAAUUCCCGGUGUAGCGGUGAAAUGCGCAGAUAUCGGGAGGAACACCGGUGGCGAAGGCGGUUCUCUGGGCCUUACCUGACGCUGAGGAGCGAAAGCAUGGGAAGCGAACAGG
rnacentral:rRNA from 1 species